rnacentral:rRNA from 1 species
GGCUCAGGAUGAACGCUAGCUACAGGCUUAACACAUGCAAGUCGAGGGGCAUCAUGAAGUCAGCUUGCUGACUUUGAUGGCGACCGGCGCACGGGUGCGUAACACGUAUCCAAUCUACCCAUGGCUCGGGGAUAGCCUUUCGAAAGAAAGAUUAAUACCCGAUGGUUUCAUCGCUCCGCAUGGAGUGUUGAAUAAAGAUUUAUCGGCGAUGGAUGAGGAUGCGUCCGAUUAGCUUGUUGGCGGGUAACGGCCCACCAAGGCGACGAUCGGUAGGGGCUCUGAGAGGAGGAUCCCCCACAUUGGAACUGAGACACGGUCCAAACUCCUACGGGAGGCAGCAGUGAGGAAUAUUGGUCAAUGGACGAGAGUCUGAACCAGCCAAGUAGCGUGAAGGGACGACUGCCCUAUGGGUUGUAAACCUCUUUUGUUUGGGAAUAAAGUGCGGGACGUGUCCUGCAUUGCAUGUACCUUACGAAUAAGCAUCGGCUAAUUCCGUGCCAGCCGCUGC